UGUGUAUAUAUAUGUAUGUACUUUUGAGCACAAUUACAUUAAUUCAAUACCACAAUAAUGAUAAUUCAGCCAUAUAUUGGUGUCUACAAAACAGCACUGUACACAUUAGAGCAAGACGCAGGUCACACGUCAAUGUGGCCAAAGCAAACUCUUCUUCUUUCUUGGUCUGCCACAAACUAGCAGGCAGAUGCCACUACCCCUUAUAGCCCAACCUCUAAAUUACAGCGCAGAAUCAACACAGUAGCAGACCUGCCAACAUUGUAUAAACUAUGCAUACCACCUCUGAUAGCUUGCCACUCCAGCUACAUGCAGAUUUCCGUAGCUCAACGACUUAACUUAAAACCAAAAGUAUGGAAGUAUUUUUGUAGAAAAUUAUUUGCAAACAUGUAUCUCAAUCUGUGCGCGUGUAAUCCAAUUUGUGUGCAUGUACGACUUUCAGGACACUUCUGCCGUGUAAGAUGGUUUGUGCAUUUUUAUGUACAAUAUUGUAGCAUUGGAGUACUCAGCAGGCCUGCCAAUAUGUACUAAUUUUGUGUACUUUUUCCCCUAAAUACGUUCAUACACUGCUCUACAGCUACAUAUUAUGCUCCGUAUGGAAUUAUAAUUGACACAAAAUGAUUUGCAAAUGUGUAUCUCAAACUGCGCGUGUAAUCCAAUUUUCGUGCAUGUGUACUAAUUUGUGUCAGUAUAUGAUCCCGAGUGUGUGUAUUCAGAUCUGCGUACCUGUGUUAUAAGUUGUCUGUCUGUCCCUAAUCAGAAAGAACCCUCGAUGGGCUGUCUACUUACAAGUGACUUUUGUGACACUUCUGCCGUGUAAGAUUUGAGCGAGCGCGUCCAUAUUUGUGAGCGUGUAAUAUAACUUUUGCGCACAUUCAGAAGUGCAUGCAUCUUAAACAAUUUGCACAAAAUGCAGGAACCGUCUAUUGGCUGUCUUUUUUACAUGUGAUUUUGCGACACUUCUGCCGUGAACAAUUUUAGCAGCGCAUCCAGAUUCGUAGGCAUGUAAUACAACUUGUGCGCGGGCAUUCAGAAGUGAAUGGAUGUAAUACAAUCUGCGCGUGCGAGGUGUGCCUACAUUCAACCAACCAUGGAAGACACCACGCAAUUUAAAGUACCACUAGAGUGGAAAAACAAGUUGCCUCUAUAUUAAAGCUAUUAUCACAUAUCUGAUUUAUAACACUGAAAAACUUAAAAAGUUUGCAAGUAAAUACAUAUGAUCAAAAUACAAACCCCGUUUCCAUAUGAGUUGGGAAAUUGUGUUAGAUGUGAAUAUAAACGGAAUACAAUGAUUUUCAGAUCAUUUUCAACCCAUAUUCAAUUGAAUGCACUACAAAGACAAGAUAUUUGAUGUCCAAACUUAUAAGCUUUAUUAUUUUUUUGCAAAUAAUAAUUAACUUAGAAUUUCAUGGCUGCAACACGUGACAAAGUAGUUGGGAAAGGGCAUGUUCCCCACUGUGUUACAUCACCUUUUUUCUUAACAACACUCAAUAAACGUUUGGGAACUGAGGAAUCUAAUUGUUGAAGCUUUGAAAGUGGAAUUAUUUCCCAUUUUUGUUUUAUGUAGAGCUUCAGUCGUUAAACAGUCCGGGGUCUCCGCUGUCGUAUAUUGUGAAUUAAGUGAAUUAUAUUUAUAUAGCGCUUUUCUCAAGUGACUCAAAGCGCUUUACAUAGUGAAACCCAAUAUCUCAAUCAAUCAAUCAAUGUUUACUUAUAUAGCCCUAAAUCACUACUGUCUCAAAGGGCUGCACAAACCACAACACAAACCACUACGACAUCUUCGGUAGGCCCACGUAAGGGCAAGGAAAACUCACACCCAGUGGGACGUCGGUGACAAUGAUGACCCAGUGGGACGUCGGUGAUAAUGAUGACUAUAAGAACCUUGGAGAGGAGGAAAGCAAUGGAUGUCGAGCAGGUCUAACAUGAUACUGUGAAAGUUCAAUCCAUAAUGGAUCCACACAGUCGCGAGAGUCCAGUCCAAAGCGGAUCCGACACAGCAGCGAGAGUCCCGUUCACAGCGGAGCCAGCAGGAAAACAUCCCAAGCGGAGGCGGAUCAGCAGCGCAGAGAUGUCCCCAGCCGAUACACAGGCAAGCAGUACAUGGCCACCGGAUCGGACCGGACCCCCUCCACAAGGGAGAGUGGGACAUAGGAGAAAAAAGAAAAGAAACGGCAGAUGAACUGGUCUAAAAAGGGAGUCUAUUUAAAGGCCAGAGUAUACAAAUGAGUUUUAAGGUGAGACUUAAAUGCUUCUACUGAGGUGGCAUCUCGAACUGUUACCGGGAGGGCAUUCCAGAGUACCGGAGCCCGAAAUGAAAACGCUCUAUAGCCCGCAGACUUUUUUUGGGCUUUGGGAAUCACUAAUAAGCCGGAGUCCUUUGAACGCAGAUUUCUUGCCGGGACAUAUGGUACAAUACAAUCGGCAAGAUAGGAUGGAGCUACACCGUGUAGUAUUUUAUAUGUAAGUAGUAAAACCUUAAAGUCACAUCUUAAGUGCACAGGAAGCCAGUGCAGUUGAGCCAGUACAGGCGUAAUGUGAUCAAACUUUCUUGUUCUUGUCAAAAGUCUAGCAACCGCAUUUUGUACCAACUGUAAUCUUUUAAUGCUAGACAUGGGGAGACCCGAAAAUAAUACGUUACAGUAGUCGAGGCGAGACGUAACAAACGCAUGGAUAAUGAUCUCAGCGUCUUUAGUGGACAGAAUGGAGCGAAUUUUAGCGAUAUUACGGAGAUGAAAGAAGGCCGUUUUAGUAACGCUUGUAAUGUGUGACUCAAAGGAGAGAGUUGGGUAGAAGAUAAUACCCAGAUUCUUUACCGUGUCGCCUUGUUUAAUUGUUUGGUUGUCAAAUGUUAGAGUUGUAUUAUUAAAUAGAGGUCGGUGUCUAGCAGGACCGAUAAUCAGCAUUUCCGUUUUUUUGGCGUUGAGUUGCAAAAAGUUAGCGGACAUCCAUUGUUUAAUUUCAUUAAGACACGCCUCCAGCUGACUACAAUCCGGCGUGUUGGUCAGCUUUAGGGGCAUGUAGAGUUGGGUGUCAUCAGCAUAACAGUGAAAGCUAACACCGUAUUUGCGUAUGAUGUCACCUUGCGGCAGCAUGUAGAUGCUGAAGAGUGCAGGGCCAUGGACCGAACCCUGCGGAACUCCACAUGUUAGCGUAGUCCGAGGUCACAUUGUUAUGGGAGACGCACUGCAUCCUAUCAGUAAGAUAAGAGUUAAACCAAGACAGGGCUAAGUCUGACAUACCAAUUCGUGUUUUGAUACGUUCUAAUAAAAUAUUAUGAUCGACGGUAUCAAAAGCAGCGCUAAAAUCGAGGAGCAGCAACACAGAUGACGCAUCAGAAUCCAUCGUUAGCAAUAGAUCAUUGGUCAUUUUUGCGAGGGCUGUCUCCGUAGAGUGAUUUGCCCUGAAACCGGAUUGAAAGGUUUCACAUAGAUUGUUAGACGCUAAGUGUUCAUUUAACUGCUCCGCAACAAUUUUUUCGAGGAUUUUUGAAAUAAAUGGAAGGUGAGACACCGGUCGGUAGUUUACCACGAGGUCAGGAUCGAGGUUAGGUCUUUUAAGGAGAGGAUGAAUAACCGCUUUUUUGAAUGCUAGGGGAACAGUGCCCGAGGAAAGUGAUAAGUUUAUAAUAUUUAGCACUGAUGGACCUAAUAAUACAAAGAGCUCCUUGAUCAGUUUCCCAGGAAGAGGGUCAAGUAAACAUGUUGUUUGUUUUAUUCCAUUUACACUUUGUAACAAUUCCUCUAAUGUUAUUUCCUCAAAACGAGAGAAACCAUUUUGGAGGGCAAUAUCCGCCGUAUAUACAAUCGUAUCUGUGUUAAUAGAACCCAGUUGUGGCUGGGAUGCAUUGUCUUUAAUCUCCUUUCUAAUUACUUCAAUUCUCUUACUAAAGAAUUGCAUAAAGUCAUCAGCUGAGUGGGUGGAGCUACUGGACGGGGUCCCUUGUUGGGUUAGCGAUGCUACCGUACUAAACAAAAAUUUGGGAUCGUUUUUAUUACGGUGGAUGAGAUUUGAGUAAUAUUUAGCUUUAGCUAAGGUAAGCAUGCGUUUAUAAGUUAUUAAACCAUCACUCCAUGCUUGAUGGUGCACCUCAAGUUUAGUCGUGCGCCAUUUGCGUUCCAGCUUUCUACAUAAUAAUUUCUGAGCUCUAGUUUCUUCUGUAAACCACGGGGUACGCUUUUUUGGAACCUUUUUGAACUGUAGCGGUGCUAUGUUAUCAAUGGUUUCGCGCAGGGCGGCGUUAAAGUUCUUAGUGAGGUUAUCAAUAGAGCCCACAUAUUUUGGGAAUGGUGCCAUUACCGAGCGCAGUAGGCCAGCAAGAGUUGUCGUUGUGGCCGUACUAAUGUUGCGGCUGCUAUAGCAGUUAUUAUUACUAUUAGUUUGACGAACAUGCGUCUGAACCUCGAAUUUUAUAAGGUAAUGAUCGGACAAUACUUUAGUAUACGGGAGUAUCGUAAGUUUAGAAACGGUGAUACCCCUGACAAGCACUAGGUCUAUCGUAUUACCGUUGCGAUUCGUGGGUUAAUUUAUUAUUUGUGUAAGACCACAGCUAUCAAUUAUAGUCUGGAGCGCUACGCACGGUGGGUCCGAUGGGGUAUUCAUAUGGAUAUUAAAAUCCCCCAUUAUGAUUAUAUUAUCGGCGUGCGUCACUAGAUCAGCAACGAACUCUGAGAAUUCAUUGAUAAAGUCCGAAUAGGGCCCUGGGGGGCGGUAGAUAACAGCCAGAUGUAGAGGCAGCGAUGUGACAGACCUCAUAGUAAGCACCUCAAACGAUUUAUAUUUAUUAUUUAUGUUAGGACUAAGGUUAAAGUUUUCAUUGUAUAUUAGUGCGACCCCCCCACCCCUUUUAAACUAAGUUACAUUUAAACCAGUGUGUGUGGCACUGGGAGCAGGUGGGUAAAGUCUCUUCCCCAAGGACACAACAGCAGUGACUAGGAUGGCGGAAGCGGGAAUCGAACCUGCAACCCUCAAGUUGCUGGCACGGCCACUCUACCAACCGAAAUAUAUUACGCUUCAUAAUGCGCCACACAUUUUCGAUGGGAGACAGGUCUGGACUGCAGGCGGGCCAGGAAAGUACCCACACUCUUUUUUUUUUUUUUUUAGGAAGCCACGCUGUUGUAAUACGUGCUGAAUGUGGCUUGGCAUUGUCUUGCUGAAAUAGGCGGGGGCGUCCAUGAAAAAAACAGCGCUUAGAUGGCAGCAUAUGGUGUUCCAAAACCUAUGCCUUAGGGAAGAAGCUGUUACAGAACCUGGAGGUUCUGCUUCGGAGGCUGCGGAACCUCUUUCUAGAGUCCAGCAGUGAAAACAGUCCUUGGUGGGGGUGGGAGAAGUCUUUGCAGAUUUUCUCUCUCUAUAAUGCCUCUGUAGAAUGGGGGGAGGGAGCUGUGCUCUUUUCAUCCGACGCAAAAAGUGCAUGCGCUGCUGAGCUCUUUUUACUAGAGCUCCGGUGUGUAGGGACCAGGUUAUAUUGUUAGUUAUCUGCACCCCCAGGAACUUGGUGUUGCUUACCAUCUCCACCACUGUGCCAUUGAUGUAGAGUGGAGCGUGGCUGGGAUGGUGUUUCCUGAAGUUAACGAUGAUCUCCUUGGACUUGUUGACAUUCAGGACAAGGUUGUUGGUUGUGCACCAGUCAACCAGAUGUUUCACCACCUGUAGUCCAUGUCAUUAGUAGUGGACCUGGCGCAGCAGUCAUGAGUCAUCAACAUAAACAGCAGCGGACUCAGGACACAGCUUUCGUGAAACACCAAGUAUCAUGCAGUAGUAUUGCUAAGUGCUAAACAAGAGAUAAAAAGUACAAAUAUAAUACAACUAUUUCUUACUUUACGAUGUCUGCUGUCACUGCAAUGACGACUGACAGGAUGUUUAUAUCUUCCCGCAGAGAUGAAUAAUUAAUUGUAAUCCAAACAAAUGGUUAAAAAAGUUGCUGCUGACACUUUUUUUUAUAGUGUGUUUGUUUCCAUCUGCAGGUAUAAAUUGGAUGAGAGAACAACUUUUAAAUUCAUGGCUAAUACCUUUUAUUAUCCAGAUGAAAGGCAUAAUUUCUGAUUUAAGAUAACUUUAACGAGCCAAGAACAGCAGCAAACCAGACAACGCUUUUUUAAUGCUGCAUAAGCGGCUUUUUCUUCAGUUUUAUGGCAGUUAUCAUCCAUAUAUGUUGUAUUACUGCCAUCUUGAAUUUUAUUUUAUAAUUACAUUAAAGCCUCUCCCUUAGUCCAGUGCAGCAUAAACUAUAGUUAGCUCUCGGUUAUCAAUGCUAAAAAUAAUUUUUUGCGUUAGUGCUUAUAAUAACAACAUUACUAAAAUUUGUUUGAUAUUCAGGUCACAAGAUGUACAUAGAGUAUCGUUUGCAAGUUUUGGAUGGUUAUUUUGUGAGUUUUGUGGGCAAAUAGAGAGCCCCCAUUGACUCAAUGAUUGUUAGCAAAAAAUGUUUUAGUUAUUAAUUUACAACUUAGAAUGCAUAAAAAAGGAAAAACAUAUGUGCUCAUGUCUUUAUAAGGAUUGUGAAUGAUAUACAGCACAUCUUUUUAUACAUGUUUUUAUCAUUUUUGCGUAUUUCGACUGAUCUGAUAACAUGGUCAGAGUGCAGAAGCGUUCCUUCAGGGACAUCAAUCUCCAGAAGUAGCCAAAGGUAUUUGGAGUGGAAUAUUCAAAAUGGCAGACUGAGUUUGUGGCAUUUUGUGAACUUUACACGGUAUGUUUAUAUACUUUGUGGAUUGUAAAGAUUAGAUAUGGUUUAAUAGGCACAAUGAAACAAGCAUAUAACAUCAAUUAAUUUUUCCACUUUAGUGGUACUUUAAACCAGUCAGGAACAAUGUGUAGCUCAGGUGUGUGAAAGAGAGACUCAAAGACUCGCCUUAUGUUGUUUUUGAUUGGUCUAAAUUGCAUAAUGUCUUUCGUGGUUGUUUAUAACGCGCAUUACUGAUGAACGGGUCUGUUCAUGUCCAUUUUCAUACAGAGGGCACACUGGAUUAUAAGGCAUAUUAAAGGGGUCAAAAUAUGA